CUGGCGUGGCUGUCGAUUUCAGUGAACCUUCUCUUGUCUGUCUAUGACAAUGUCAAGCAGGUACGUUAUCCAGUGAGGGUCUACUUCCAUGAGCCUCCAGAUUUGCAAGCAAAUGCAGGUUCAAAGAGAGGCAGAGAACCAAAACUAAUACCUCAAGAAGGCAUUUCAGAUAUGGACACUGAUAAUCCAGUAAGUGUGACAAAAACAAUUCAGCAAUUUUCCUUUCAGAGUGAUUUCUUAGUAACAAAGGCAGAAGCACUGUCUUCGAAGAUAUCCUCGCUUUUAUUCUAAAUUGUACUACUCCAUACAAGUGAUCUUCUACAGCAAAUAAAAAACAGUAAAUGAUAUGUUCCACAAACUGACUGGAUAGUGUUGACAAGGGCAAGAGGCCAGGUGCUCGGAGAAGACGGAGUGCGUGUGCACAGCGUGGUUCUUCCAGGGCUUGCCUCAAGCACGUCGGUCAGUUUGUCAGGCCCUGGAGAGAUUUACACCUUGAAGCAUGAUGUUACAGAUGUUCGAUGCCUGAUGCCAGGACUCAUUCUGGCAAUACGGAAAGUGGUACGCUUGAAGAACUUGAUCUAUGGUCUGCAGAAGUUCUUGUAGGAAAUUAUCAAUUCACACGUCAAGAGAACUACAAUUUUUGACCUUCCAGCUGUUUAUGAUGAGAGACAAAUGGGAUUAAAAUCAAUUCCUUUCCUUGGCUCGUAAUUAGAAAUGGUGCCACUGGCAAGACAGAUCGGAGAACCUGUUGAGUAUAUGUGUUUGUGUUUGUGCAUAUUGUGUAUUGG